UUCAUCUGGCCGGAUUGGUGGCUGACUCACAGAGCAGCGCUGCAAAAUGUACCUUUUUGUCAGUCUUGGCCAAAGGAAGUUUGGAUACUGACUGCUGCCUACUGGCUCUGUGCCCUCCAGAAAUCUACUAUCUACCGGCUUCAAUUUUCUCUAUAUACAAGAAGAUGCAAUAGGUACCUCUCCCAAAGGUAACGCUUCUCCAACGUUGGCACACAACAGAUAAUCCAGAGAGUUUAUUUCAUGCCAAAGGCCCAGUCUUACCGAAGUAAGCCUCCCCAGCUGGCUCCAAUGGAAGCCUGUUUGAGAACUAUUGUCCUCAAGGCAGAAAAGUUAGCACUGCUCUCUGACUAGAAGACAUUGCCAUAUAAACAUCAAAGUUGAACCCCUGAUGAAAAGAAGUGGAAGCAACACUAAUUAUUUUCCUUCUGAGACAGAAAUGAUGGAUGUUACAUGUCUGGAAUUCAAUACGUCUCUGAAGACAUUGGCCACCGUUUCUGCUCAUCAGCAGUAUUCAUUCUGCUAGGCAAUGGAUUCAGGAGAGAUGACAUUUGUAAUCUAGUGGAACAUUACUUCACCAACCCUGCUACAUUAGUGAGGAAACUGGACUCUCAGCUGUGACUGGUCUAUGUUCAAGCACUGAGACACAGAGAGCUACUGUAUCAAUCAUUGGAAAAUUCUCACUACGAAGAGCGAGAAAUAUAAAUUGAAGAAAAAAGUGAUGCCUCUUAUUGUAAAUGGUCUAAAUUGCUUUAUGGAAAAGAAGCAUCCUAAAUCUUGCCCUGCAACUAACAAAUGAAGAAAUAUCGUCAUAUAGCAAAGAGCCAAGCCCUUCACCCACUGACACAGAACAAUAGCCUUUGUGAGGAUCCCUCCCACGCUGACUCUGAACUUGCUCAUGAGACUUUCUCUGGCCACUGUGAUGCAAGCGGAAACUUGGAGAGGAGUCUUCGGUCCUGACCCAGUGUGACCUAAUGUCAGUUCUCAUGGAUUUCAAGAGACAUAACAAUCAUAUGAAGAAGAAUCAGGAAGAGAAGGAGAGUUUCCGAUUAAAUGUUUGGGUAAAGAAGGAUGUAUAAAAAAAAAAGUGUAAGGAGCAGAUCACUUUAGCACCUCCUAAUUUCAUUCAGUCAAUGGUAGGCAAGUUAGCUUUAGAAUCUCCGGCAACCAAACAAGCCUAGAGGUUUGUGGCAGGGAGGGGUGGGGUUGGGAGAGCUUCUCAAUGCCCACGUUUUCUCCCUCGGAGAAAGAUAUUUAUAUAUGUGCUAUUACCGCAUGCUUGAAUAAAAUAAUCUUUCAGCAAA